UUCACUUCUAUGAAGAGUAUAGUUACGUUUCUAUCUCCCUUCCUGUCUCGUACUUUAUCGCUGGUGAUAACUUUUGAUUUACAUAAGAUAAAUAUAAAAAUUAACCAGUUUCCAGUGUUCGUGUAUACCAACAGACUCGGCUAAUUCAAGAUAACUGUACAGAACAGUUAAAGUAAUGUCACGUGUUUGGUGCGCAUGCGUUAACACACCUGUCUCAGGUAAAGCGGAAGCUAGUGACUCAUAUUUUAACUGAAAGUGGGGACAUUUUGAUGAUUUUAGUUUUACGGACACUCUUGUAGAGAAAAGUGAUGUAAAGGUAAAUAUAUCCUUUAUUUGGUCAAAAUUUUGUUAAUUAGUUUUAACUUUUAUACGAUGAAGCCAGGUAAGUUUGGGACUCGUGUCAUUUUAUUGAUAAGCAGUUGAUCACAAAGUAAUGGCUCUGCGAUGAUAACGUGAUUGACAGGCGAAAUGACAAUAUACUUGUAUAUUGCCAUAAUUAGCAAUAAACAAUAUAAAACAUUUGCACAGAGUAAUAAACUAAUUGCUUAAUUAGCGGUACUACAAAGUCUUCAGAAGUAACGGCUUCUCAGUGUACCUGUCCUAACAUUUCCGUUCUGACAUCAAAUACGUGGUCUGUGUUUCUGGAAUUAGAUGCUUAUGGUGAGUAAUUGAAAAAAAAAGAAGUAUUUUUAACUGAAGUUUUUAAAGCUGGGUGAUGAUGACCGAUGGAGAUCAGUUACAGAUAUCAUCUCAUGAAUUAAUGAUUGAAGUUGGUAGAUAUUCUGGUAUUGCUAGGACAUAAAUUAAUGAUUGAAGUUGGUAGAUAUUCUGGUAUCACUAGGAUGUAACAAAUGCAACUUCGGUUCAUUAGGUGAUGAGAUUUAUUUUUUGAUUAAAUGCGAAAAGUUUGUUGAUGAAAGAAAAUCUUUUUGUGGUGCUAUAGAAAAAAGUUAUAAUUUUUACAAAACUUAAUGAUGAACAAAAAUUAAUUUACAUAUUAUGUUCUGAAGAGCCAUCUAUUCUAAAUAUAACUGGAAAUUUUAUUUGAACAAUAUAUGACAUUGUAUUUGCAUGUAACUAUGUGUCGUGUAAUCACUUAAUUCUUUCUUUACUUGUACAUGUAUAUAAUUGUACAGUAUAAUAAAAAGUCGUCAUGCUGCCCCUUGAUUGGAAAAAAAAGUUCUAUAUAUAUUCGAUCACUAGCUGUUGCAUAAUAAAUAGUCUUGUUACCUAUAUUUAUUUACUACAUAGGUAUACAUGAUAUUAUAUAUUUAUAAAAAUAAAUACAUGUAACCACGUCCCCAUGGUCCCACUGCAGCACCUGUAAUUAUAUAUCAUACAUACGUGUAUUUCUGCAGAUAAAACCAGAUUUGUGGAGAAGAGGAGGUCAUCAUUCAAGUCUUUAGAUAUAAUUGUUCAUGUAGAGAAUUUUAAUCUUAUGAUAAAGUUGUUCAGUCUUCAUAAUUAUGUGUAUAUGCUAUCAACAUUUAUUGUCUUGCCUUUUUGAUAGAUAUUUUGAAAAGUAAUCAAAGAUCCAGGAUCAAAUCUAGUAAAAUUUACAAAAUAAGUAAAUUGCAAUACUUGGAACAAUUAGGACAUACAUUAUUUUGUUUCCAUCUACAUGAUUAGUGGUAUAGAUUUAUAUGCUUUUAAAAAAGAAGUUGAGUUUUGUACAAAAAGAGUCAACACAAAGCUAUUGGACAGUAAUUGUAGCAUUUUUACUGAAAAGUACAGCAGACUGUUGCAAGAUAAAAGUUUUAAAAGUUAUGGAAUAAUAACUGCAUGGGGCCAUUAAACUUGUUUUUUUUAA